AAGAAGAAAAGGUAUACAAGAAAAAUAGUAAUCAGAUAUACGUGUUAAACGAUUAUAAUUUCAAGCUGUGCUGGGAAAUUGGUCGGACGUUGCAAUUACGAAUAGCGUCCACCGCGACACAUUAUCUGUAUCGCAUUUGUGUAGCAAGCGCGAUAAUAACGGGCGCGAAAUUCAUUGGACAGCACGAAGUGUAGAAACGUGCACUCGAAUAAACUCGAUGAGUCAUUUUACGAAAGGUGUGUAAUCUGCAAAAUCCAUAAUAACCCGAUUUGAUU
rnacentral:misc_RNA from 1 species